rnacentral:rRNA from 1 species
GGCAUAUCAAUAAGCGGAGGAUGGAAGUAAAGCCGCCCAGGGGCUCUCUCUCAAUCCAUCUAACCCCCUUUGUGCAUCACCGCGUGGGCGCUCUCCUUUUGGUUCAUUCUGAAAAGGGGGCGUUUGCGUUUUUAUACAGACCACCGCAUGUGUAGAAUGUCUUACUAUUUGCGAUAACACGCAAUCAAUACAACUUUCAACAACGGAUCUCUUGGCUCUCGCAUCGAUGAAGAACGCAGCGAAAUGCGAUACGUAAUGUGAAUUGCAGAAUUCAGUGAAUCAUCGAAUCUUUGAACGCACCUUGCGCCCCUUGGAAUUCCGAGGGGCACACCCGUUUGAGUGUCGUGAACAUCCUUCAACCUUUCUUGGUUUCUUGACCGGGGAAGGCUUGGACUUUGGGGGUUUUUCAUUGCUGGCCUCCCUUGAAGCCAGCUCCUCCUAAAUGGAUUAGUGGGGUCUGCUUUGCCGAUCCUUGACGUGAUAAGAUGUUUCUACGUCUUGGGUUUCGCACUGUCGCUUCAGACCCCGCUUCAAACAGUCUUGCAUCUAAGACAGAGUUUUAUAAACCUUGACCUCAAAUCGGGUGAGACUACCCGCUGAACUUAAGCAUAUCAAUAAGCGGAGGAA